UACGUAGGGUGCAAGCGUUAAUCGGAAUUACUGGGCGUAAAGCGUGCGCAGGCGGUUUUGUAAGUCUGUCGUGAAAGCCCCGGGCUCAACCUGGGAAUUGCGAUGGAGACUGCAAGGCUUGAAUCUGGCAGAGGGGGGUAGAAUUCCACGUGUAGCAGUGAAAUGCGUAGAGAUGUGGAGGAACACCGAUGGCGAAGGCAGCCCCCUGGGCUGACACUGACGCUCAGGCACGAAAGCGUGGGGAGCAAACAGG
rnacentral:rRNA from 1 species